rnacentral:rRNA from 1 species
GACGAACGCUGGCGGCGUGCCUAAUACAUGCAAGUAGAACGCUGAAGAGAGGAGCUUGCUCUUCUUGGAUGAGUUGCGAACGGGUGAGUAACGCGUAGGUAACCUGCCUUGUAGCGGGGGAUAACUAUUGGAAACGAUAGCUAAUACCGCAUAACAAUAGGUGACACAUGUCAUUUAUUUGAAAGGGGCAAUUGCUCCACUACAAGAUGGACCUGCGUUGUAUUAGCUAGUAGGUGAGGUAACGGCUCACCUAGGCGACGAUACAUAGCCGACCUGAGAGGGUGAUCGGCCACACUGGGACUGAGACACGGCCCAGACUCCUACGGGAGGCAGCAGUAGGGAAUCUUCGGCAAUGGGGGCAACCCUGACCGAGCAACGCCGCGUGAGUGAAGAAGGUUUUCGGAUCGUAAAGCUCUGUUGUAAGCCAAGAACGAGUGUGAGAGUGGAAAGUUCACACUGUGACGGUAGCUUACCAGAAAGGGACGGCUAACUACGUGCCAGCAGCCGCGGUAAUACGUAGGUCCCGAGCGUUGUCCGGAUUUAUUGGGCGUAAAGCGAGCGCAGGCGGUUUGAUAAGUCUGAAGUUAAAGGCUGUGGCUCAACCAUAGUUCGCUUUGGAAACUGUCAAACUUGAGUGCAGAAGGGGAGAGUGGAAUUCCAUGUGUAGCGGUGAAAUGCGUAGAUAUAUGGAGGAACACCGGUGGCGAAAGCGGCUCUCUGGUCUGUAACUGACGCUGAGGCUCGAAAGCGUGGGGAGCGAACAGGAUUAGAUACCCUGGUAGUCCACGCCGUAAACGAUGAGUGCUAGGUGUUGGAUCCUUUCCGGGAUUCAGUGCCGCAGCUAACGCAUUAAGCACUCCGCCUGGGGAGUACGACCGCAAGGUUGAAACUCAAAGGAAUUGACGGGGGCCCGCACAAGCGGUGGAGCAUGUGGUUUAAUUCGAAGCAACGCGAAGAACCUUACCAGGUCUUGACAUCCCGAUGCUAUUUCUAGAGAUAGAAAGUUACUUCGGUACAUCGGUGACAGGUGGUGCAUGGUUGUCGUCAGCUCGUGUCGUGAGAUGUUGGGUUAAGUCCCGCAACGAGCGCAACCCCUAUUGUUAGUUGCCAUCAUUCAGUUGGGCACUCUAGCGAGACUGCCGGUAAUAAACCGGAGGAAGGUGGGGAUGACGUCAAAUCAUCAUGCCCCUUAUGACCUGGGCUACACACGUGCUACAAUGGUUGGUACAACGAGUUGCGAGUCGGUGACGGCAAGCUAAUCUCUUAAAGCCAAUCUCAGUUCGGAUUGUAGGCUGCAACUCGCCUACAUGAAGUCGGAAUCGCUAGUAAUCGCGGAUCAGCACGCCGCGGUGAAUACGUUCCCGGGCCU